rfam:Campylobacter gracilis RM3268 contig00044, whole genome shotgun sequence.
GGGGGUGACUUGGCUUCGACGGGAACGGAUGGGUCAAGGCUGCAUGUCGCUUUGGAUACAGCGUAUAAAAUCCAAACUAAAUUUAAACGCAAACAACGUUAAAUUUGCUCCUGCUUACGCUAAAGUUGCGUAAGUCCAGUCGAGCCCUGCUCUGCGCCGAUACUAUCUAAGCGUGGUGGCGGGUAAUCUGCGAUAGCGUAGCUCUGCGGCGUGACGAGCCGUAGGGUGAAACUCUAGUCUUUGCGCCGGCGGGUCGUUUUGGAAAGUGAGCGAGCCUGCGCGAGAACUUCACUUUUGCUAAACAUGUAGAGGCUUUGGUCGUUUGUUUUCGGACUGCGGUUCAAUCCCGCACACCUCCACCA